UACGGGGGGGGCAAGCGUUGUUCGGAAUUACUGGGCGUAAAGGGCUCGUAGGCGGCCAACUAAGUCGGAUGUGAAAUCCCCAGGCUUAACCUGGGAACUGCAUCCGAUACUGGAUGGCUUGAAUCCGGGAGAGGGAUGCAGAAUUCCAGGUGUAGCGGUGAAAUGCGUAGAUAUCAAGAGGAACACCUGCGGCGAAGGCGGGUUGCUGGGCCGACACUGACGCUGAUGCGCGAAAGCCAGGGGAGCGAACGGG
rnacentral:rRNA from 1 species